UAGGGAAUAUUGGACAAUGGGUGAGAGCCUGAUCCAGCCAUGCCGCGUGCAGGAAGAAGGCGUUAUGCGUUGUAAACUGCUUUUGCCAGGGGAUAAAAAGACCGUGCGCGGUUAAUUGAAGGUACCUGGUGAAUAAGCCACGGCUAACUACGUGCCAGCAGCCGCGGUAAUACGUAGGUGGCAAGCGUUGUCCGGAUUUAUUGGGUUUAAAGGGUGCGUAGGUGGCCCUGUAAGUCAGUGGUGAAAUAUCUCAGCUUAACUGAGAGGGUGCCAUUGAUACUGCAGGGCUUGAGUACAGAUGAGGUAGGCGGAAUUGACGGUGUAGCGGUGAAAUGCAUAGAUAUCGUCAAGAACACCUAUAGCGAAGGCAGCUUACCAAGCUGUAACUGACACUGAGGCACGAAAGUGUGGGGAUCGAAACAGGAUUAGAUACCCUCGUAGUCCCUGAGCGGGCUGGCAAGGCGCAU
rnacentral:rRNA from 1 species